rnacentral:rRNA from 1 species
UACGUAGGGGGCGAGCGUUGUCCGGAUUUAUUGGGCGUAAGGGGUACGCAGGCGGCCAUGUCAGUCAGGUGUGACAUUCUAUAGCUUAACUAUAGUAAGCACUUGAAACUGUGUGGCUUGAGUUAAGGAGAGGAAAGUGGAAUUCCUAGUGUAGCGGGGAAAUGCGUAGAGAUUAGGAGGAAUACCAGUGGCGAAGGCGACUUUCUGGACUUAUGCUGACGCUGAGGUACGAAAGCGUGGGGAGCAAACAGG